GACAGACAAACAUAGUCAGACAGACUGUAAAAGUAUCCGUUGGGGUAAAUCAUGCUGUGUUUAUUGUACGGAGAGAGAAACUCUUCAGAAAUAACACCAAUACAAGAUAUCAGGUGUUUAAAUAUGGACAUAUUGGUCCCAUAGCAUUCACCAGCAACAUGAACAUGUUCAGGACAAUCAGGAAGGUAGAGGACAUGAGCAUGUUCAGGACAAUCAGGAAAAUAAAGGACAUGAGCAUGUUCAGGACAAUCAGGAAGAUAAAGGACAUGAGCAUGUUCAGGACAAUCAGGAAGGUAGAGGACAUGUUCAGGACAAUCAGGAAGGUAGAGGACAUGAGCAUGUUCAGGACAAUCAGGAAGGUAGAGGACAUGAGCAUGUUCAGGACAAUCAGGAAGAUAGGACAUGUUCAGGACAAUCAGGAAGGUAGAGGACAUGAACAUGUUCAGGACAAUCAGGAAGGUAGAGGACAUGUUCAGGACAAUCAGGAAGGUAGAGGACAUGUUCAGGACAAUCAGGAAGGUAGAGGAGAUGUUCAGGACAAUCAGGAAGGGAGAGGACAUGUUCAGGACAAUCAGGAAGGUAGAGGACAUGAACAUGUUCAGGCCAAUCAGGAAGAUAGAGGACAUGAACAUGUUCAGGACAAUCAGGAAGGUUGAGGACAUGUUCAGGACAAUCAGGAAGGUAGAGGACAUGAACAUGUUCAGGACAAUCAGGAAGGUAGAGGACAUGUUCAGGACAAUCAGGAAGGUAGAGGACAUGAGCAUGUUCAGGACAAUCAGGAAGGGAGAGGACAUGUUCAGGACAAUCAGGAAGGUAGAGGAGAUGUUCAGGACAAUCAGGAAGGGAGAGGACAUGUUCAGGACAAUCAGGAAGGUAGAGGCUAGAAACAUUUCAAUCAAACAGCCCAGAAACACAAUAUUACACAUUCAGUGUGAAAGUUAGACAUUGUAUAACAUGUAGAACAUUAAAUAAUAAAUAUAGUGUCAAAGCUUUUUACCCUCUAAACUGGACUUGAUGGGAAUGAAGACAGGAGAUAUGAGGGGGGUGAUACUGAUGGGAGAUAUGGGGGGGGUGAUACUGAUGGGAGAUAUGGGGGGGGGUGAUACUGAUGGGAGAUAUGAGGGGGGGG
rnacentral:lncRNA from 1 species